UGUGAAAAAAAUCAUUCAUUUUUACUGUUAAAAACUAACGCAGUUGACAAAAUAACUAAACAAUUACAUGCGACGUGCCACAUAUAACUCAUUUUGACAUACAUGAAUCAGUUUUUAACAGUAGAAAUAAAUGAAAUUUUCAACA
rfam:Gossypium raimondii Chr05_contig_1344, whole genome shotgun sequence.